AUGCUCACUUUGGGAACACAUAUAUUAAAAUUGGAAACCAUAAGAUUAGCAUGGCCCCUGUGUAAGGAUGACACACAAGUUCUGAUGAAGCAUUCCCUAUUUUU